rnacentral:rRNA from 1 species
GAUGAACGCUGGCGGCGUGCCUAAUACAUGCAAGUCGAACGAACAGACGAGGAGCUUGCUCCUCUGACGUUAGCGGCGGACGGGUGAGUAACACGUGGAUAACCUACCUAUAAGACUGGGAUAACUUCGGGAAACCGGAGCUAAUACCGGAUAAUAUAUUGAACCGCAUGGUUCAAUAGUGAAAGACGGUUUUGCUGUCACUUAUAGAUGGAUCCGCGCCGCAUUAGCUAGUUGGUAAGGUAACGGCUUACCAAGGCAACGAUGCGUAGCCGACCUGAGAGGGUGAUCGGCCACACUGGAACUGAGACACGGUCCAGACUCCUACGGGAGGCAGCAGUAGGGAAUCUUCCGCAGUGGGCGAAAGCCUGACGGAGCAACGCCGCGUGAGUGAUGAAGGUCUUCGGAUCGUAAAACUCUGUUAUUAGGGAAGAACAAAUGUGUAAGUAACUAUGCACGUCUUGACGGUACCUAAUCAGAAAGCCACGGCUAACUACGUG